UGCUUAACACAUGCAAGUCGAACGAUGAACCGGGUGCUUGCACCUGGGGAUUAGUGGCGAACGGGUGAGUAACACGUGAGUAACCUGCCCUGGACUCUGGGAUAACCCCGAGAAAUCGGAGCUAAUACCGGAUAGGACCUGGAACCGCAUGGUUUUGGGUGGAAAGUUCUUUCGGUCUGGGAUGGACUCGCGGCCUAUCAGCUUGUUGGUGAGGUAAUGGCUCACCAAGGCGUCGACGGGUAGCCGGCCUGAGAGGGUGACCGGCCACACUGGGACUGAGACACGGCCCAGACUCCUACGGGAGGCAGCAGUGGGGAAUAUUGCACAAUGGGCGAAAGCCUGAUGCAGCAACGCCGCGUGAGGGAUGACGGCCUUCGGGUUGUAAACCUCUUUUAGUAAGGAAGAAGGGGAGCUUGCUCCUUGACGGUACUUGCAGAAAAAGCACCGGCUAACUACGUGCCAGCAGCCGCGGUAAUACGUAGGGUGCGAGCGUUGUCCGGAAUUAUUGGGCGUAAAGAGCUCGUAGGCGGUUUGUCACGUCUGCUGUGAAAUCCCGAGGCUCAACCUCGGGCCUGCAGUGGGUACGGGCAGACUGGAGUGCGGUAGGGGAGAUUGGAAUUCCUGGUGUAGCGGUGGAAUGCGCAGAUAUCAGGAGGAACACCGAUGGCGAAGGCAGAUCUCUGGGCCGUAACUGACGCUGAGGAGCGAAAGCGUGGGGAGCGAACAGGAUUAGAUACCCUGGUAGUCCACGCCGUAAACGUUGGGCGCUAGAUGUGGGGACCAUUCCACGGUUUCCGUGUCGUAGCUAACGCAUUAAGCGCCCCGCCUGGGGGAGUACGGCCGCAAGGCUAAAACUCAAAGGAAUUGACGGGGGCCCCGCACAAGCGGC
rnacentral:rRNA from 1 species